rnacentral:tRNA from 1 species
GGAGGGGCCUUGGCUCAGUGGAAGAGCCUGUGCCUGGCAUGCAGAAGGUCCCAGGUUCAAUCCCCAGCAUCUCCA